GGACGAACGCUGGCGGCGUGUUUAACCCAUGCAAGUUGAACGAGAAUUUUUUAACAGAUUCUUCGGAAGAAGUUAAGAAAGAAAGUAGCGAACGGGUGAGUAACGCGUGAAUAACCAACCCUCACAGGGGGACAACAGCUGGAAACGGCUGCUAAUACCGCAUAAGACCACGGUGACACAUGUUACAGUGGUAAAAACUGAGGUGUGGAGACGGGUUCGCGUUCCAUUAGCUAGUAGGUAGGGUAACGGCCUACCUAGGCAACGAUGGAUAGCCGAGCUGAGAGGCUGAUCGGCCACACUGGAACUGAGACACGGUCCAGACUCCUACGGAGCAGCAGGGAAAUGUACAAUGGGGGAAACCUGAUACAGC
rnacentral:rRNA from 1 species